CUGGCUGUAGGGAUAUUUUCACGUGGAGUCUAUGUAUGAAUGCAGAUCUGCUUGUGGUGUAUGUGUGUGUGGGUGCGUUGGUGUAUUUGUGUAGAGUGUCUCUGUGUGAAUGUAUAUUUGUGUGGAGUGUCUAUGUAGGGUAUAUUUGAGAGGAGUGUUUGAGUGGAGUGUUUCUAUGUGAAUGUAGAUGUAUAUUUGUAAAGGCUGUCUAUGUAUGAAUGCAGUG